GCUUAUGGCCAUGCCACCAUGAAUGUGCCAGAUCUCGUCUGAUCUCGGAAGCUAAGCAGGGUCAGGCUUGGUUAAUACUUGGAUGGGAGACCACCUAGGAAUACUAGGUGCUGCAGUGU
ensembl:rRNA 5S_rRNA 5S ribosomal RNA